CCAUCCCGCUUCAAAUUAAGGGACAAGAGGUGCUGGGGAGCUAGUCUCUCUCGCACUCGAGGCAGGGGAGGAAUUAACAGCUCUCUCUGUGAAGAAGCCCUUUUGGAUGACUUUCAGGCAUAACAUCAGGAAGAAGUUAAAGUGAGUGUACAUACUGGAAGGUUCAACCCUGUCAGGAAACAACAUGGUGGGACAUGUUACUUGGGGUUCUCAGAGACCAGGGACUGGGAAGAGGAAGAGGGCCCAAGUAAAACYUACAAGGAACAACCAUCAAAUCACAGAUGGAGAAUGUGAAACAGAAAGAGAGUGGGCGGAUGGAGUGAAGGAUGAAGGCUGGGUAGACGACUGAACAGAGAGAGAGAGAGGCUCUACGCGGCUGUUCAUCCAUUCAUCGCCAUGGGCUCUUGUCCUCGUCUCUCCUCCCCUGCUCCACCCUCCCAUCCCAGGGCCCUUUGAAGCGAGUGCGGCCCCAAAAGGGAGCUCCUGAGUGGGCUGGUGAGGCAUGAAUAAGUCCCUGCUGGUUGCCAGCACCUCUGGAGAUGACGGCAAGAGAAAUCAAUAUGGAGAAGAGAAUGUGGAGAACAGAGUGGGGUUGUCCUGGUUAGCCCACGGCCUAGGGGCCUGGAGACCUCCAGAGGAGGCCCAUCUUGACCUCGCUCAGCCUCAGCCAAGGCUCCUCAGACUGGGCCUGGGUCCCUAACCACACUGGGUGUGUGUAGUUCUGCUGGAAGGGGCCUACCAACAAACACCACAUGAUACACACUCUCCUGAGUUAUUAUUCUUUUUUUUUUAGAAUGCUAAAGGGGAUUUCCCUCUCUCUUUAUUUCUGUUUUCUUAAAAAAAAGAUUGACGUACUCCCCCACCUGCACCCUGUAGCUGUGUGUGAAUGCUGGUGGGGGGGUUCUGGUUUUUGAUCCAGACUUCAGAUCCACUCACUGCUUAUUCCCGGGGAAGCUUUUACAUUUGUCAAAGAGACAGUAACGUCUCAUUUUUACACUUCUAUUUUUCUUUUCUACACUGGCGUGCUUCCUCCACAGCGAUAUACAAACCACAACAACCACGGAAAUCGUUUUUUUUUUUUUUAUCAGGCUCUUUAUUGUUCAAUUCCAAUUGAAUUUUUCAAUUGGCAUGAUCAAAGACCAUAGAACGAAAAACCCAGGCCAGAUCUCCUAUCAAUAUAGUUCAUUCAUUUUGACCAGCUAGAAUAAAAUGGACAUAAAGGAUCCAGGAAAACACAAGGCCGUCAACAGAUGACUGGACACUCCCUGGAACAACACAGAACCAGCAGACAGAGGUGUAAUUUCAGGGGGUCCCAGCUGACUGCCCUUCCUCUAGACAUCACCAUCCCACACCCAGAGGUCAGGGGUUGGGGGUGGAGCACAGACACACACACAGGCUGUUUGUGCUGACCUGUGUCURUGUGCAGACUGAGGGGAUCACUGCCCUGGGAGAUAAGGAUCGACAUGUGAGAGUGAAAGAACGAAGGUCGCUUGUUUGGACCAACCGGAUCACAUGAGACCUUGUGGAGCGCUCCCAUUGGUUCACCUAAGAAAAAAAGAGGGGGGGGGGAGUCCUUUGACUUCAAGCUUGCUAUAAAGAUUCAUAGAAUGUGGAGUAAGAUGGACAUGCAAAACUGGACAAAAUAACAAYACAGAAAUUGCUUCUACAAUAUUGACAUUGAAUUAGUACACUCACCUCAGUUCUUCACAACUGACUGUUGCUCUCUGGAGCCAUUCUAGUUUGGAAAACAAGUAGCAAUGAUCACAGAUMAUUUGUUUUGCUUUUAAGCUGAUCUUUUGCUGAGGUGUGUAUGAUAUAUGAUUUAUGCUGUGUACAGUUAUAAUAUAACAGAAAUAGAUCAAUAAAAGUGCUUUGUUUUCUGAAAGUA